rnacentral:lncRNA from 1 species
AAUUACUUAAGAUCCUCAAAUGAUCUUGAAUCUUCACAAUUCUUUGCUGCUUCUAUAUCUCAUACAUAUUCAUUUCUUUCUUUGAUACAAUAUCUGACUUACACAUAUGGAACUCAUCACAAGGUUACGAUCGACCAAACUUCGCGAAGAAGUUGAUAUCUAGCAUCGAUCGUAGACCGACUUCCUCGCUCUUUGUGAUUAUCUUCUCCAUUAACAGUGAGUGUUGGAGAUGAAGAAUGGUUACCAAUGAUGGAUGUAAAUGGAGAAUCAAGUUCCUCAUGUUCUUCAUCACUUGUAUAUCC